CGGGGGGCUGCAGUGGGGAAUUUUGGACAAUGGGCGAAAGCCUGAUCCAGCGACGCCGCGUGGAGGACGAAGGUCUUCGGAUUGUAAACUCCUUUUGCAGGGGACGAAAGCCCGCAAGGGUUUGACGGUACCCUGCGAAUAAGCCACGGCUAACUACGUGCCAGCAGCCGCGGUAAUACGUAGGUGGCGAGCGUUACUCGGAAUUACUAGGCGUAAAGCGUGUGUAGGCGGGAACUUAAGUCUGUCGUGAAAGCUCAGGGCUCAACCCUGAAAGGCCGGCAGAAACUGGGUUUCUUGAGUACGGUAGGGGAGAUUGGAAUUCCAGGUGUAGCGGUGAAAUGCGUAGAUAUCUGGAAGAACGCCAAAGGCGAAGGCAGAUCUCUGGGCCGGCACUGACGCUGAGACACGAAAGCUAGGGGAGCAAACAGGAUUAGAUACCCUGGUAGUC
rnacentral:rRNA from 1 species